ACGUAGGGAGCGAGCGUUGUCCGGAUUUACUGGGUGUAAAGGGUGCGUAGGCGGCGAGGCAAGUCAGGCGUGAAAUCUAUGGGCUUAACCCAUAAACUGCGCUUGAAACUGUCUUGCUUGAGUGAAGUAGAGGUAGGCGGAAUUCCCGGUGUAGCGGUGAAAUGCGUAGAGAUCGGGAGGAACACCAGUGGCGAAGGCGGCCUACUGGGCUUUAACUGACGCUGAAGCACGAAAGCAUGGGUAGCAAACAG
rnacentral:rRNA from 2 species